GCUGGGUGCGGUGGGGCACGCCUGUAAUCCCAGUGGCUGGGGAGGCCGAGACAGGAGAAUCGCAAGUUCAAAGCCAGCCUCAGCCUCGGCGAGGCACUUAGCAACUUACUGAGAUGCUGUCUCUG
rnacentral:sRNA from 1 species